AUUCAAAUAGCUUAUAGUAUAGAGUACAACAUUGAAGAUGUUGUGGAGGUUUUAAACCUUUGAAUG
rnacentral:tRNA from 2 species